rnacentral:tRNA from 1 species
UUUUUUUUAGCUUAAGUUUAGAGCGUUAGUUUGAAGGGCUAAAAGUACUUUUAGGGGUGAAAGGGUAAGUUAAAC